rnacentral:lncRNA from 1 species
AACAAUGGUGUUGGUCGUGGUGGCCGAAGCAAUGGUCGUGGUGGAGGUCGUGGCAGGGGUAGAAGCAAUGGUCGUGGUGGAGGUCGUUCCCAGCCACAACCACAUCAGUGGCCUCAGUAUCCCUAUCAGCAACCUCAGUGGACCACUCCCACUUAUCCCAGACAGCAGCAACAGUGGGCAUAUCCAUGGCAGCCAUGGGCCACUCCACCAUGUCCAUAUCCGACAACGGUUUCUCCCCAUCAACAAUCAGGCAUACUAGGUCCUAAACCUCAGCAAGCUCACAUGGCAACUGCUCCACCUCACAUGAACAGUCAGCAAGGUUCAUCUUCUUAUGCUCCGACAGACAUCCAAGCUGCUAUGCAU